CCUACGGGAGGCAGCAGUGGGGAAUUGUUCGCAAUGGGCGCAAGCCUGACGACGCAACGCCGCGUGGAGGAUGAAGACCUUCGGGUCGUAAACUCCUUUCGAUCGAGACGAAUGUUUUCCGGGUGAACAAUCCGGAAAAGUGACGGUACCGAGAGAAGAAGCCCCGGCUAACUCUGUGCCAGCAGCCGCGGUAAUACAGGGGGGGCAAGCGUUGUUCGGAAUUACUGGGCGUAAAGGGCUUGUAGGUGGCCAACUAAGUCAGACGUGAAAUCCCUCAGCUUAACUGGGGAACUGCGUCUGAUACUGGAUGGCUUGAGUUUGGGAGAGGGAUGCGGAAUUCCAGGUGUAGCGGUGAAAUGCGUAGAUAUCUGGAGGAACACCGGUGGCGAAGGCGGCAUCCUGGACCAACACUGACACUGAGGAGCGAAAGCCAGGGGAGCAAACGGGAUUAGAUACCCCGGUAGUCCUGGCCCUAAACGAUGAAUGCUUGGUGUGGCGGGUAUCGAUCCCUGCCGUGCCGAAGCUAACGCAUUAAGCAUUCCGCCUGGGGAGUACGGUCGCAAGGCUGAAACUUCAAAGGAAUUGACGGCNGAGACGNGCGAGGACGACGACGAGGGAGGAGG
rnacentral:rRNA from 1 species